rnacentral:rRNA from 1 species
CAGAGGGGGCAAGCGUUAUUCGGAAUUAUUGGGCGUAAAGGGCGCGUAGGCGGCUUUGCAAGUGACGGGUGAAAGCCCUCGGCUUAACCGAGGAACUGCCUGUCAGACUGUGAGGCUUGAGGCCAGGAGAGGUGAGUGGAAUUCCCAGUGUAGCGGUGAAAUGCGUAGAUAUUGGGAGGAACACCAGUGGCGAAGGCGGCUCACUGGACUGGUACUGACGCUGAGGCGCGAAAGCGUGGGGAGCAAACAGGAUUAGAUACCCUGGUAGUCCACGCCGUAAACGAUGAGUGCUUGGUGUAGCGGGUAUCGACCCCUGCUGUGCCGAAGUCAACACAUUAAGCACUCCGCCUGGGGAUACGGUCGCAAGACUG